rnacentral:rRNA from 2 species
UAGGGAAUUUUCCGCAAUGGGCGAAAGCCUGACGGAGCAACGCCGCGUGAGGGAUGAAGGUUUUCGGAUCGUAAACCUCUGUCUUUGGGGACGAUAAUGACGGUACCCAAGGAGGAAGCCACGGCUAACUACGUGCCAGCAGCCGCGGUAAUACGUAGGUGGCAAGCGUUGUCCGGAAUUACUGGGCGUAAAGGGCGUGUAGGCGGCCAUUUAAGUCAGAUGUGAAAGAACAGGGCUUAACCCUGGAACUGCAUUUGAGACUGGAUGGCUUGAGGAUCGGAGAGGGCAGUGGAAUUCCCAGUGUAGCGGUGAAAUGCGUAGAUAUUGGGAGGAACACCAGUGGCGAAGGCGACUGCCUGGACGACACCUGACGCUGAGGCGCGAAAGCCAGGGGAGCAAACGGG